rnacentral:ncRNA from 2 species
NNNUCACGCUGGGGGAGCCCGUUUUGGGCUGAGAGUUCCCGCAAGGGAAGACCCUGACGACCUGAUCUGGUUAAUGCCAGCGUAGGGAAGCGGCCGCACAUAUCC